rnacentral:rRNA from 1 species
GACGAACGCUGGCGGCGUGCUUAACACAUGCAAGUCGAACGAUGAAGCUGGAGCUUGCUCCAGUGGAUUAGUGGCGAACGGGUGAGUAACACGUGAGCAAUCUGCCCUUGACUCUGGGAUAACUGCGGGAAACUGUAGCUAAUACCGGAUACGACACCUUGGGGCAUCCCGGGGUGUGGAAAGAAUCUCGGUCAAGGAUGAGCUCGCGGCCUAUCAGCUUGUUGGUGAGGUAAAGGCUCACCAAGGCGACGACGGGUAGCCGGCCUGAGAGGGUGACCGGCCACACUGGAACUGAGACACGGUCCAGACUCCUACGGGAGGCAGCAGUGGGGAAUAUUGCACAAUGGGCGAAAGCCUGAUGCAGCAACGCCGCGUGAGGAAUGACGGCCUUCGGGUUGUAAACCUCUUUUAGCAGGGAAGAAGCGAAAGUGACGGUACCUGCAGAAAAAGCACCGGCUAACUACGUGCCAGCCGCCGCCGUAA